CCCCUCGCUUCUCAUCGCUUUGCUAUUGAACUUAGUAGGAAAAGUGUACUUGUUCUUCAUGAGCACCAUAGAAUGGAUGAGUAAUAUUUUUCGAGUAACAUCACUGGAGUAACAUCCUGCACAAAACAGGAGUAACAUCACAUCACAAAGGACUAACAUCACUGGAGUUACAUCGAUGACUUAUCUUCAUUUGCAUAAGUUUGCAGACACCCGCGUUACAUGUGAAUGUAGAACUGCAGGCUGCACUCGCUGCAACCGGAGCUGAAGAAAGAAGGCCCUCCCUCUCUCCAGCUGUGAUUGGCUGUUGGGGCUGUCCUUCAUGACAGAAGGAAGCCCGCACACCAGUUCCAUCUCCUCUCUUCUGCCUCCCUGACUGGAGUUCAGUUCCUGUCCAUUUUGUCCGAAUGC